UCCCCAGUGGCGCAAUUGGUUAGCGCGCGGUACUUAUACGACAGUACACGUGAUGUCAACUGAGUGAUGCCGAGGUUGUGAGUUCGAGCCUCACCUGGGGAA
rnacentral:tRNA from 1 species